rnacentral:lncRNA from 1 species
GCGAUGAUUUUCUGUGAUUAUCCGGCGGAAUACAACCCGAAGAUCCACGGACCUUACGGUCCUGUCCGUUACUACGGCAA